CGUUCUUCAUCGAUGC
rnacentral:rRNA from 1 species